GAAGUAGGAGCUUCAAGGAGAGGGACGUUACAUCGCUUCGCAUGUUCCUUAUUAGGUCAACUCUUGUCUACUCCACCACCUGCAUAACAUUCCCUAAACCUGGUACAUUGCAUAAAGGAAUCGGCCAACGUAAUGAUAGGAACGGAGCGGUGGGACGGAGCGUGCUGGUCCACAGGCCGUUGAGGUUGCGGGGUUGAAGUUCGAGCAAGUUCGAGCAUCGGAGUGGUAAGGGCUGCAAUCAUGGUCCUCCGUGCGAGUGGCAGGUUUACAACACUCUUGGUGGCAGCCAUGGUGUUGGUCGUGUAUAUUGCAAAGGUCGACAAGGCGACUACUACGUCAUGGU